GGGGAAAAAAGGAGAAUUUAGGUCAAUUUAGUGGUUAUGAAUUUGGUAGCUAAUGCCCCUUCAACUAUAGGCUUAUAUCUCUAAUGAUUCCUAGUAUUUCUUGGAUUUGCAAUUUUUUGGGGGGGAUUAUUUUGGUUGAAUGAUAAAGGCAAAAUGUGUCUCUCGUGGUAGAUGCAAUCAUUCUUUUCUGAUAAGCGAGAAACAUAGAGAAUGAGAUAUCUGUUCUUUUGCCAGUUUCUUGGCACCAUUAUCGCUUACUCCAUAACAAAUAUAGGAUGGUUAAUGUAGUUUAAGAUAUAGCAAAAUUAUCUUUGAGUUGUUUGUUUUUAUGAAUUUCAUAGACAAUUUGUCG
rnacentral:lncRNA from 1 species